rnacentral:rRNA from 1 species
CCUACGGGUGGCAGCAGUGGGGAAUAUUGGACAAUGGGCGAAAGCCUGAUCCAGCCAUGCCGCGUGUGUGAAGAAGGCCUUCGGGUUGUAAAGCACUUUCAGUGGGGAAGAAAGCCUUGGGGCUAAUACCCUCGAGGAAGGACAUCACCCACAGAAGAAGCACCGGCUAACUCCGUGCCAGCAGCCGCGGUAAUACGGAGGGGGCGAGCGUUAAUCGGAAUUACUGGGCGUAAAGCGCGCGUAGGCGGUCUGAUAAGCCGGUUGUGAAAGCCCCGGGCUCAACCUGGGAACGGCAUCCGGAACUGUCAGGCUAGAGUGCAGGAGAGGAAGGUAGAAUUCCCGGUGUAGCGGUGAAAUGCGUAGAGAUCGGGAGGAAUACCAGUGGCGAAGGCGGCCUUCUGGACUGACACUGACGCUGAGGUGCGAAAGCGUGGGUAGCAAACAGGAUUAGAUACCCCAGUAGUC